rnacentral:lncRNA from 1 species
CCAAAUUCCUUUAUUGUCUUUUAUAAAUUUACAAUAUUAUAACCUUUCUUGUAAAUUCUUUGUACUGAAGUUAUUUUUUGACUCCAAGAAGAAUAAUAUAAUCCAUUAAGUUACCAGCCAAGUACCAAUAUCACAUUAAACUCCUUAAAUUAAAUAACCCCAUCACCAAAAUUUGUACAAUAGAGAUACUAGAAAGUGACUUCCAACUAAAGAACAAAGAGAUGGAAUUCCCCUAUUUCCCCACCCCUAAAAGAAAUAAACAAAAAUAAUAAAAAUAAAUAAAUACAAACUUAGGUAAAUCUUUGAUUUACCAUGGUAGAAAAGCUUCAUUACAACUACUUUGAUCACUUGAACUACUACUCAAAAGUUGUUCCAAAUAAUCAGCCCCCAAAUCUUCAAAUACUACAACAUUUACAUUCUCCAUUUUUACUUCCCUCACAACUUUAUUAUUACUGUUGUUCUUGGAAUUCAAACCCCCAAAUCUUCAAAUACUACAACAUUUACAUUCUCCAUUUUUACUUCCCUCACAACUUUAUUAUUACUAUUACUAUUACUACUCUUCUUGAAAUUCAAGCUCCUCUUCCUCAUUGAGUGGCGCUUUUUUAGCGCCAAUACAGGGGAACA